rnacentral:lncRNA from 1 species
AACUGUCUAACACUUUCAGUUCUAUUUUGAUAUCAUCCCUGUUUCUUGGUUCUUUAAUCUGAAAGUGCAUUUUUGCUCUGUAAAUUUCUCAGGUAGGCCACACCGUUUGCAAAUAGCUAGAUGUGCACUCAAUAGUCGCAUGUUCUGUGCUUUACUCCGGAUUUAUUUCAGCUUCUCUUCAUUCUUACUUCAUCCCUCUUACUUUUAGCUUUUUGUUUGAUUUCCAGAUUUUUCAUUUGCUCUUUCUUUUCACCUCUUCGGCUCUUCUGUGCCUGUGAUUUGCGGUGAGUUUUUUCAUGUUUCUUUAUUUGUUUUCUUUUGGCACUAAUUCCUUUACGAUGGAAUUUUGAUAAAUAUCUUUUAGUUAAUUUUCCUCAUAUGGUGAAAAUUUUUGGUUUAUGUUUUAUGUGCAUGUCACUAUUUUUACCUCUUUUCACAUAGAUGUUUAGGAAUAAAAUAUUUGGGGUGCAUGAUCUGUGUUUCUGCAUAUGUGAAAAUCGAUGCCUAGGUGCAUGCUCAAGUAUAAUUAAUGAAUACGGAAUCUGAUCUUUCGGUAAGCAAACUUAAUUCCUUUGGCACACUGAUGCACCCAUGUGUUUGACGGUAUGCCUGAAACAAUAAAUAAUUAUUUUUUCUUUCUUCUUCAUCUGAUUACAGCAAAAAAAAUAGUAAUGUUAAGUAAGAGAAACAUCUAUUUACAGUAUAAUACUAAAAUAUAUUCUCUCGAUUCUUCAGAUAAAAGCAUUUUGAUGAUCCAAUUUUAUAAAUAUAUCCAUAAUCUGGUAGUGCUUCAAAUAUUACUUUACUUUAGGUGCAUUAUGAACUAAAUGCAUGAUUUAACAUGUAUUGUCCGCUUGGUGAUAUAUUUUAAUUCACAAUACAACAACAACCCAAUAUAAUCUCACUAGUGGGGUUCUAGGGAGGUUAGUGUGUACGAGAUAUAUUUUAAUUCACGAUGGUAAUGAAAAAGUCCCAAUUUGUAGGGCACCGCCUCUUGGAGAUGAGACAUUUCAUGGAGCAGUGGUGAUUGGUGUGAGUUGGAAUUAAUUAAUUAGCAUGAACUUAAUUAAGAGUCGCAGAUAUAUACGUUUUCUUUUAAUUUUUAUGCAGCUACCAGUGUGUUACUCAUUGUAUGCUAUAUUUUUGUCAUUGACCAUCUUUUAUUUGGGAUUUACUGUUCCCAAUUAAUAUGUGCCCCAUUUUCAGACUUACCCCAGAUGUCCCUCUAGAUGAAACUGAAAUUCUGAGAAAGGAUGGUACUAAGCAUAAGAUUGAUUGGUUAGUUUUUUUUUUGACUAGAUAUCUAUGUUAAUUCCUAAUUCACCUGAAAUAUCAAAAAGUUAUGGUACAUGAUAGUAUCUUCUCAUUUGUUCAAGUAACAGCAAAUCUUCAGCUUUCUCUUUAGACAAAUAAAAUAUGUAUGUGGUGAUGAAUGCAACAAUUGGACAAGCAGAAAAGAAGAGGAAAACAAAACAAAUGCAUUCCUAAGGCAAGCACAAGUACACGUUUACUAAUUUGUGCAAAUCAAAGCAAUCUUCUUGAUUUAUAUUAAUGUUCAUUAAUUGUAUUUAGUUAUUUUAUCUUUUAAAUUUGAUAAAUACUAUUUGAACGGAUGUCCUCAGCAGUUGAACCCAAUCAAGUACAAGUUCAAAUAUUAGCAUAUUGAAUGCUAACUUUUUGCCAUCUCAAUUCAACUCUGAUUUUAUUGCAGACCUGGAAGUAAAGCAAUUUGUGCAUAUAUAAUUACCAUUUUUCUUCUUUUAGAUGAUUUAUAUUUAGUUAUUCACUCCCCUGUUAUUUAUUUCCUAGAAAUUACACACUCAUGAUUCAAGGAUAAUAAAUGAUGAUUUCUUGUGGAAAGCUUUUGCUGAUUUUUUUUUUUUUUUUUCACGCACCUUAUAAGUAGUAGUGACAAUGAUGUCUGUGCAAGGUGAUGCACCUAAUUGCCACAUAAUUUUAUUUCACUCAAUAUUUUAUAUUUAAUCAAAGUUGCAGAGUACUGUAUCUUUUUCUUUGCUGGUAUUAUAUUGAAUUACUCUUUUGACUUUGUAACUGGUUGAGAUAAACUGUUGUUUGGGGAUUAACAUGGUAGUGCAUACGACCAAACCAUUUUAUGGGGGAAUUCACAUUAAGAUGCAAAAAAUUAAAGGUCUUGAUAAAUUUUAAGGGAGCUGUGGUUGAUGAUCAGGUAGUUAUUAUCUAGAGGUAUCUAUGACAUGAAGCAUUAGGCUAUUCAAGAAAAGGUUUAUUACUGUCUCGACCCAUGGUUGAUAUUUGAUACACACAUGUGAUGGUUAUUCUGACUCUGAAUGAGAUACUGGCUCCGGCUAUGGCUGUUUAACUCAUGCAUAAUAACAUCACAAAGCUCAUGGUCUCAAGGUUAUUGUUUUCAAUCAUAUGUUUGAAAACUUUUGCUUGACAUGAAUCGAAUUAUUUUAAUAAAUAUUUUUUUCCCCUUAUUUUUAUUUUGUCUUUUAGAGUGCUACUAUAUUGGCACUUCUUUUAGAGAGUUUCCAUAGUCUUAUAUUUAAUCGAAGGCUUGGGAUAUUUAUAGUUUUUAUCGUAUUUUGGAUCAAUGAUAAAGAAAAGAUUUAUUUUAUGCAGGCAUGAAUUAAUAAGAUCUUGGUGGCGCUCCUCUUAGUUUUCGUUAUACAACUUUCAGAGAAAACCAAUUUACAUGCUUUUCGAUGUUAAUCAAACACAUCAUAUUUUUUUAUUAUCUCCUUGCUCUUUAUCCUCUUCUUGGUUGCAAUGUGGAAUUACAUGAAGCAGUGAAGAGCAACACGAUCAAAAGAAACUCCGAAGAGAAGCCUGCUACUAAACCACGAACGAAAAAAUCUAUUCAAUCAGCAUACAGGUUAUAUCAAUAGAGGAAAAGAAGAGAUUCCUGAGUUUUUGUCAAUAGAGAAAAAGAAGAGGUUUCUGACCUUUUUGACGAUCAAGGUGUUCUAAACUGGUGUCAAUUGGUGCUGACAUCUUUACUCUAGCUAAUAAAGGAAGAGUAUUUUACUAAUUGUUAUUACUAAUCGUUAGUUUUAGUAUUUUUAAUUCUUCUUUAUAAUUUUGUAUGAACGAGCGCACAAAGGAAUUGAGAUUUAAGUGCAACAAAGGAAAAUUUGGCCUUGCUAAUAU